rnacentral:lncRNA from 1 species
GGAACAGAUGAUCGUCGGAGAAGACGAAGCGGUGAGCUCGUCGAAGCUUCUGGUCGCCAAAGGAGAAAGAGAGAGAGACGGAGAAGUCGAUGAGUGAGGCCAAAGAGUCAAGGUGGAGAAUGUGAGGCUUGUGUCUCUUGGGCCAUCUGGUGGGCUGCUUAUGGGCUUCGGUUUUGGACAUGAAACAAGACAUAAAGAAUAUGGGUUAGUCUAAGUCCGAUAAGGAAUGUAAUUCCUUAUAGUUUUAGGACAUAUGUUAUUCCUUAUGCAACAAGGAUUAACAUGAUUAGGUCUAGUAUAAAUAGAGGUCUCUACUCGAGAUUGCAAAACACAGAAACAUAUAUACUCUCUAAAGCAUAGAACACGCAACUAGUGCGAAGCUAAUCUUUCAUUACAGGUUUCUAGGAGGGCUUAAAGACACGUAUGUAUACAGGAAGGAAAGUCAAAACAAAAGAGGAUACCUUUUGGUCUUUUGACAAGUUCUGGUUCGGUUUUCUUUUCAAAGAUGGCGUGAGGAGAAGUUGAGUGGCUUUGUCACUUAAUAAUCACGAAUCUACAACAGAUUCAUCAAGGCACGAGCUGGAAAGAAAUUGAAAUCAAAGGUUAAGGUUUGGUCGAUGUCUAAGGAAACAGACAUGAGAAGAGCAAACGGAACCUGGAUUUUCAAUGGUGAAGGCGGUGAGAGCAAUCUCCGGUGAAGACGAGCGGCGGUGAAGUCGGGAUCUUGUCUUGAUCACGGGGAAUCGAAGGAGAGAGACGUUACAGCCGGGGCGAGAUAGAGAGGAGCGAGAAUCGGAGAAGGCAUGCAUCUCCGUGAAGACGGCGUUGAGGAACAGAUGAUCGUCGGAGAAGACGAAGCGGUGAGCUCGUCGAAGCUUCUGGUCGCCAAAGGAGAAAGAGAGAGAGACGGAGAAGUCGAUGAGUGAGGCCAAAGAGUCAAGGUGGAGAAUGUGAGGCUUGUGUCUCUUGGGCCAUCUGGUGGGCUGCUUAUGGGCUUCGGUUUUGGACAUGAAACAAGACAUAAAGAAUAUGG